AAUGAACGUUGGCGGCGUGGAUUAGGCAUGCAAGUCGAGCGAGAAGUUUAAGAAAGAUACUUCGGUUGAUUUCUUGGACGGACAGCGGCGAAAGGGAGAGUAACGAGUAGAUACGUACCCAGGGGUUCGGGAUAGCCAUGCGAAAGCGUGAGUAAUACCGAAUAAUGUCUCCGGACCAAAGAUUUAUUGCCCUUGGAGCGGUUUGCUUACUAUUAGCUUGUUGGUGGGGUAAAGGNCUACCAAGGCAAAGAUGGUUAGCGGGUGUGAGAGCAUGGCCCGUCUCACUGGGACUGAGACACUGCCCAGACACCUACGGGUGGCUGCAGUCGAGAAUCUUCCACAAUGGACGAAAGUCUGACGGAGCGACGCCGCGUGCUGGAUGAAGGCCCUCGGGUUGUAAGCAGCUGUCGUAGGGGAGGAAAUUUUGACCGAUCCUAGGAGGAAGCACAGGCUAAGUUCGUGCCAGCAGCCGCGGUAAUACGA
rnacentral:rRNA from 1 species